rnacentral:rRNA from 1 species
GCAUGCCCAAAUAAGGCAUGCAUCGGCUCAACCUGGGGAAGGUGAAGGGACAAGAUGGCCAAAGGACAGGACAAAGAACCUUGUGGCAUGGCCAUUUUGGAGCGAGGCCACCUAUUCAUGCCAAACGGGGUAACCGCGGUUUACCUAGCAGGAAAGGGUUAAAAAUACAUGAAAAGAUAUAAUGCCACCAGCCCUGUCCAAGGCACUUCUGCACUUCUCCUAAAAAAUCCUUCGAGAGUAUCUAGGGCCUUUAGAAAUGACAGGAAGACCCAAGUGCACUGUACUUUAAGGUACUUUGUGCACUUGUAACAUGUUGCAGUAAAGUUGCAACAUAGACAAGGACUAAGGGAAACAAAGUCUCGCAGUACGGACUGUCUUUAAGGGCAUGUCAGUUUCCCCAUAACAAAGUGAGCGACAGCCCAGGGGAGUGCAGCUGAAAGCUGUGCUCCUCUGGUAAAGUCAGACGAUGGUGUUUAAACAAACCAAAAGGUUGAGGGUACACAACUGGAGGGAAAAUUACACAUGAAAUGGAAAUCUUUCCUAACAGUCGGUUACCCACCCAGCCUAUUUUUAACACAGACCGAGGAGUCUAACAAGUGCGUGAGUCAGAGGGCUGAACAAAACCAUGUGGUGCAAUGAUGGAGAUGGUCGGAGUGCACCGGCUCCGGUGGGAUCCCGUUGCGCUGGUGCACCAUCAGCCCGUCUCGCCCCCUCUGUCAGGGAGGUGGAGCAUGAGCGUGCGUGAUAGGACCCAAAAGAUUGUGAACUAUGCGUGGGCCGGGCAAAGCCAUAGGAAACUCUGGUGGAGGUCUGUAGGCAUCCUGAAAUUCAAAUCAGUCAUUCAACCUUGGUAUAGAGGCGAAAGACUAAUCGAACCAUCUAGUAGCUGGUUCCCUCUGAAGUUUUCCUCAGUAUAGCUGGUGCUCAGAAACCCCAGUUUUAUCUGGUAAAGCAAAUGAUUAGAGGUUUGGGGCUGAAACAAUCUUAACCUGUUCUCAAGUAAUAAGAACUGGCAUGUUGGCUUGAAGCCAUGCAUCGAAUGCGAGUGUCCAAUGGGCCACUUUUAGUAAGCAGAACUGUCAAUGCAGAAUGGACUGAAUGCCGGGUUAAGGCAUAUGAUGCUGACGCUGUUCAGACCCCAGAAAUGGUGUUGCUUGAUAUAUACAGCAGGACGUUGGCCAUGGAAGUCAGAAUCAGCUAAAGAGUAUGUAACAACUCACUUCUGACUUAACUAGCCCUGAAAAUGGACAGCGCUAUAGAGCAUCAAGCCCAAACUCAUUUGUCGCCGGCGCAGAGAGCCGCAGGGGCUAAGCCACGAUGAGUAGGAGGGCUGCUGCAGUGUGAACGGAAGCCUGGGCGAGGGCCUGGGUGGAACCACCGCAGAUUCAGAUCUUAGGGUAGCAAGUAUUCCAACAGGAACUUUGAAUGUCGAAGUGAGAAGGGUUCCAUGUGAAAUGCAGUUGAACAUGGUCAGUCAGUCCUAAGAGAUGGGCAAGCACCGUUCAUAAGGAAUGGCAAUGGCCUCUGUUGCCCUCUGCCAAUCGAAAGAAAGUCAGGUUCAGAUCUCCAAACCCAGAGUGGCAGAGAUGGGCACCCACACGCCAUCCAGUGCAGUAACACAAAUGAUCCCAGAGAUGCAGGUGGGAGCCCCGGGGAGACUUCUCAUUUCUCUGUGGAGGGCAGAGCACCCUGGAGUGGGUUCACCCAGAGAGAGGAGCCUGAGCCUUGGAAAGCAUCGCCGUUCCGGCAGCAUCCAGUGAGCUCUUGCUGGUCCUUGCAAAUCCUGGGGAGAUGGUGUAAAUCUCACACCGGGCCAUACCCACAUCUGUAGCAGGUCUCCAAGGUGAACAACCUCUGGCAUAUUGGAACAAUGUAGGUAAGGGACGUUGGCAAGUCAGAUCCGUAACUUCGGGAUAAGGAUUGGCUCUAAGGGCUAAGACAAAGGGUCUGGGCUGCGAAUCGGGUUGGAUGCGCACUGCGGCUGGACGAGCCGUCUCCACCCUGAGGGCGGCGCUGACUCUGGACAUGAGCUGGGCCCUUCCUGUGGAUUUUAUUUCUUUUGUUUCUUUUGAUUUAUUUAUUAUGUGUUAAAAACCUGUGGGCAUCAAAGCACAAAGCUGAAACAUCAUGACAGACAAGGGGAGGCAGAAACCAAAAUGAAGAAAGAUCAAAGCAAAUAUUCAAAACGGAAGGUGUAGGUCAGCAUCAAAUCAGGAGCUUAAUUUACAGAAAUAAUUCAGAGAAUACAAAAGUUUUCAGUUUCUUCCUAAAGGAUCGAAGGGAAGAAUCAGACCUCAUGGAGACAAGAAGAGAAUUCCACUGGGCUGGCGCCAAAACCUGAAAUGAUUUGCCACCUGCCUGUGUACAUUUAAUGUAUUUACAAAACAUUAGAUGUUGAUUGCCCCAGCUCCGGUGGUUGCCUCUCUCUGUUCCCCUCCCGGAGUUCAGGGCUGGCGUUCUACCUUGGCCGGUGGCUAGCAGCUGAUUUAGAUCUGAUCUGGACCAGGGGAAUCCCACUGUUUAAUUAAAACAAAGCAUCACAAAGGCCUGCAGCGUUUGGUGACGGAAUGUGAUAUCUGCCCAGUGCCCUGAAAAUCAAAGUGAAAUAAUUCAUUGAAGAACAGGGACUCUCUUAACCUUUCUCAGUCAUAGUGACCCUUACCUCUGCGUGGUCCCGCUGGUAACUAACCCUGUUGGACGAGUCCUGCAUAGGAGGAGUCUGUUUGGGGAUAGGCCGAAAGGGUAUAACAUCUCCACCUAUUCUGAGCAUGGUCUAGUACCUAGGUGUGCCAAAAGAAAUGGUGAAUCGAAACCAAACAACUCCAGAUGAGGUAUUUCAUGGUUCAAAAAACCUUGUUAGGAAGUUGGGGUCGGACUAAGAUCGAAAUGGAGCUGAGAGAGAAGGAAGACGCAGAUGGGCAUCGUAAAUCACUUACAAGACAUGCUCAGUCACCCAUUCUAAUCAGUGAUCCGCAAGCCGUCAAGAUCUUGGCCUGGAGGAACGAAGAGAUUGAGGGAGUUAUUU